AACAACCGAAUGAGAUUCAAAAUUUUUAAGUUGAUAUAAAAAGUUCAGUAAAGAUGAAAAUAUCAUGAACAAUUCAGGAAAUAUUAAAAAUAUCAGGUAGGAAAGUAUGUUAGGUCCGGAAUAUUUUUUGCACCCUCCACCCCCAAAUAAAAACUGUUUCGCUUGUCAAAUCUGAAUUUCUCUAAUAACAUUGUCAGACUGGUUAGAUCCAUUAAAUGGAAUACAAAACUUUCGCUUCCGAGAUUGGUCUGACGGAAAAAUUUUGAUCAAAUCAACAUGAGGUCCAUUUUUAUCAGACGUCCGAAAACUUGGCCCAGAUCUUGCUUGAAAAUAUAACCCGUUAUAGUAUGCAAGACUUUCCCCUUGACGAGUAAAUUCAUCUGGCAUUAGACAGAGUAAAAUACUAAAGUAGGGCCCAUUUUGGCGCAUUGCAGCUUAAUGGGUUAUAAGAGAGAGAAAUUCUGCCCAGCAUGGCUGGUCUGACCAUUUCAAAUGGAAAGCGUGCUUUGUGUCUUUCUUGUAAAUAUAUCCAGUGCUUGCAAUAUGAUUAUGAACUUUAGCUAAAUUGAGGACUUUAUGUAAAUUUGUAUGCGGCAUAUAACAAAGUACGCAUUAUCAAAGUUGAGUUAUAGAAUUAUAGUGGCAUGCAGUCAUUGUUUUAUUAGGUUAACCAGUGCAUGUAGUGAUUAAGAAUCAAGUAAUAACAAAUAUAUGGACAAAAUAUUUAGAUUUAUAUUCCAGUAAAAUAUCGUGUUAGUUUUCAUAGGUAUAGUAAAAUAUUUCAUAUUGAUGUUUAAUAAAAGUAUUUGUCAUAAAAGUUUCUGAAUUUCUUUAGUUUUUCCCC